GAGGGGAUAGCUCAGGGGUAGAGUGUGUGCUUAGCAUGCACAAGGUCCUAGGUUCAAUCCCCAGUACCUCCA
rnacentral:tRNA from 1 species